AUGACAUUUUAGGAAAAAAUGAAACAAGUCAGAGUGUGUCCAGAAGAAAGCAACAUUCAGCAAAAAGAUUUAUUAAAGGACCUGAGGACCUUUAUCCUGGAAAAGAUAAUUCUUAGGAAGGAAAUCAUUGCUGUUUAUGAGAAAACUGAAUCCCAGAAGGCCGAAGGUCAUGGAGGUUGGUUUUGGUGAACAAAGUACUUUGUGAGCAUUGAAGGUCUAUUGAAAUGUGACCUGUUCUCCUCACAUACUUCGCUGGGCCUGAGUUUGGGCACAAUCAGCUGAAAGGGACUGCAUUGCAGUUCGAUGGCAGCUCUGCCCUCCUGUCGGCAUUUUCUGGCAUU